CACGUAGGGCGCGAGCGUUGUCCGGAAUUAUUGGGCGUAAAGAGCUCGUAGGCGGCCUGUUGCGUCCGCUGUGAAAGCCCGGGGCUUAACCCCGGGUCUGCAGUGGAUACGGGCAGGCUAGAGGUAGGUAGGGGAGAAUGGAAUUCCUGGUGUAGCGGUGAAAUGCGCAGAUAUCAGGAGGAACACCGGUGGCGAAGGCGGGUCUCUGGGCCGAAACUGACGCUGAGGAGCGAAAGCGUGGGGAGCGAAUAGG
rnacentral:rRNA from 1 species